CAGCCGCCGCGGUAAUACGAAGGGGGCUAGCGUUGCUCGGAAUGACUGGGCGUAAAGGGCGCGUAGGCGGAUGGCACAGUCAGAUGUGAAAUUCCCGGGCUUAACCUGGGGGCUGCAUUUGAUACGUGUUGUCUAGAGUGAGGAAGAGGGUUGUGGAAUUCCCAGUGUAGAGGUGAAAUUCGUAGAUAUUGGGAAGAACACCGGUGGCGAAGGUGGCAACCUGGUCCUUGACUGACGCUGAGGCGCGAAAGCGUGGGGAGCAAACAGGAUUAGAUACCCCCGUAGUCCCUGUCUCUUAUAA
rnacentral:rRNA from 1 species